AUUACAACCACUCGACUUCCUCGGGCGCUAGGAGGUCGGCAUUGGGGAUGCGGCAGCACACGGCCGGCCCUGCCAUGGAGUGGCGGCCCGUCCGCGGCGACCUCUGCGUAGUAUCCAACUCGCACUGGAACCCCGACGUGGCCACGCCGUAUUACACCCAACUUCUGAACGUUGACCUCGAAUCAGGUAGGACUACCCGCUGAACUUAA
rnacentral:sRNA from 1 species